AUGGAUUGGUGCUAGCUUGCUARAACUUGSUGACAGGUGCUGCACGGCUGUCGUCAGCUCGUGUCGWGAGAUGUUGGGUUAASUCCCGCAACGAGCGCAACCCUCGUCAUUAGUUGCUAACAGUUCGGCUGARCACUCUAAUGAGACUGCCUCCGUAAGGAGGARGAAGGKGAGGACGACGUCAAGUCAUCAUGGCCCUUARGGCCAGGGCUACACACGUGCUACAAUGGGGCGUACAGAGAGCUGCAAUACCGCGAGGUGGAGCCAAUCUCUUAAAGCGUCUCUCAGUUCGGAUUGUUCUCUGCAACUCGAGAACAUGAAGCUGGAAUCACUAGUAAUCGCARAUCAGCUAUGCUGCGGUGAAUACGUUCCCGGGCCUUGUACACACCGAA
rnacentral:rRNA from 1 species